UGGGGUGUAGCUCAGUGUAGAGCACUUGCCUAGCAUGGAGGAAGCCCUGGGUUCCAGCCCUAGUACCACAA
rnacentral:tRNA from 1 species